rnacentral:rRNA from 1 species
GACGAACGCUGGCGGCGUGCUUAACACAUGCAAGUCGAACGAAGUGGCGAACGGGUGAGUAACGCGUAGGUAACUGCCUGGUAGCGGGGGAUAACUAUGGGAAACGAUAGCUAAUACCGCAUACUACCAGAUGGACCUGCGUUGUAUUAGCUAGUGGGUGGGGUAACGGCUCACAAAGGCAACGAUACAUAGCCAACCUGAGAGGGUGAUCGGCCACACUGGGACUGAGACACGGCCCAGACUCCUACGGGAGGCAGCAGUAGGGAAUCUUCGGCAAUGGACGGAAGUCUGACCGAGCAACGCCGCGUGAGUGAAGAAGGUUUUCGGAUCGUAAAGCUCUGUUGUAAGAGAAGCGGUAUCUUACCAGAAAGGGACGGCUAACUACGUGCCAGCAGCCGCGGUAAUAC